AUAUUUCGGAACUGAGUCUAGUUCCUUCGAUAUCAGUGUAAUCUAAUAAUAUUUCAUAAAUAUUAGAUUACACUGAUAUCGAAGGAACUAGACUCAGUUCCGAAAUAU